ACAAGUAAUCUUUUAAUUAAGUGUCAGCCAUCCCACUCAGACAUCUCCUCAGACAUCCUGGCAUUCGGCAGUCCCCGAAUCCCAGAAUUAUGAGAGCAACAGGAGACGAGCGGCAAAAACGCACAAAUCUAAUUUGAUUAAUGGUCAAAUGCUAAGCUUAAUUAGUGGAAACAGUGGCACACAAAAAAAACAGAGCCAAGCCAACUGGAAUCGGCAUUAAUGGUUGCCACAAAUACGGGCAAAAUAAGAAAUUAAAUAAAUAACCACAGAACAACAACUAAUUGCACCGCAAACGACAAUGGCAAAACGAGCAAUGAAAAGGAAAAGCGGAAGGGAAAUGGAAAAGUGCAAAAAACACAAGCUGAAAAUAUUUCGCAACUAAUAAAAACAUUGCGGCGCACUAAAUCAACUGGAAAACUGUAAAACACAUUGGAACAAAGCCCACAGCCUGAAACCCACAGCUCCAUCUGGAGGUGCCUGGCCCAUUCUAAUCCCAUUUCAGCCCCUAGUGUAUAAUUAUUCUAUCUGUCGCAUAUGCAUGAGAUCAGCUAUAAGGCCUGGAACACGCCCCCGAUGUAUCUAUCUGGCUUUAUGUAGCUUCAUUAGCAACUUUGUGCGUAUUCAUUAGGAAGCAGCAACAGGGGGCACAGAGCCCCCAAAAAUCCCCCUCGUUGCCACACAGCUGCGACUGGUUGAUAAAAGAUUUAUGCGAGCACUGAUAACCCGACGAAACGCCCACAUCCAUAGACACACUGCCUGGAUUCUGGAUAAAUAAACCAAAAAAUAAAAAAAAAAGUGAAAAUAAAAAUAAAAUAAAG